rnacentral:lncRNA from 1 species
GAGUGGGCGGAAAGAAGGUUAUCGCUUGGAGGGACACUGGGGCACAAGUGUCGACUAUCCACCAAUCCCUAGUGGACCCCAAACUCAUCAACCCGGAUGCUCUGGUGACAAUUCAACCCUUCACGUCACAGUCUGUAACCUUGCCUACAGCCAAGUUGCAUGUCCAGUACAAGGGCUGGUCAGGAAUGUGGACUUUUGCAGUCUAUGACAAUUAUCCCAUCCGCAUGCUUCUGGGGGAAGACUUGGCCAACCAUGUGAAGCUAGCCAAGAGGGUGGGAAUAGUCACCCGCAGCCAGGCUAAGCAAGCUUUCACCCCCAUCCCUGAUCCUGAGCCGUCCACCAGGGCCCCGUCUGUGUUACCAGAGACCCAGACAAAGGUGGUGGAACCGGAUCCUCUGCCAACGACUGCAACAGCCGUAGUGUAUCCAAUCCCAGAGACCCAGCCAAAGCCAGUCCCAGAACCGGAACUGGCAACACAACCAGCGCCAGAACCAUUGCCAGCACUGAGUACAGCAUUUGUAAACCCAUCUAUAACUCCAACGCCAGAGGGCACCAGUGAGCCUGAACUGGCAGAAGCAGCAGAUAACCCUACCCAAGAGGCUCAGCCGGAACCUGAAAUACAACAGCGGACAGCGGUUCAGUCAACGGAAACAGCCCCAGCACCUGCAUCGCUUCCAGAGGGACCAAGCCCAAGUCCACAGUCCAAGGAGGAACUGAUGUCUCCAGCAUCAAGGGAACAGUUCCAGGCCGAGCAGGAAGCAGAGGACAGCCUUCAGAAAGCUUGGGCAGCGGCACAGAGCACCCCGCCGCCUCUCAGCUCUUCUAACCGAUCCCGGUUUGUGGUAGAACAAGGACUUUUAUACAAGGAGACUCUUUCUGGUGGGCACCAGGAAGACUGGUAUCCUCAAAGACAGUUGGUAGUUCCCACUAAGUAUCGGGUAAAGCUCUUGAGCUUAGCCCAUGAUCAUCCCAGUGGCCAUUCUGGGGUGAACAGAACCAAAGACCGGUUGGGGAAGUCCUUCCACUGGGAGGGAAUGGGCAAGGAUGUUGUGAGGUGUGCCAACGAGUGGGAAAGCCCCAAGACCAGGUCAAAGACCCUCUCCAGCCACUACCCAUAAUUGAGGUCCCAUUUCAGCGAGUAGCUGUGGAUAUUCUGGGUCCUUUCCCAAAGAAGACACUCAGAGGAAAGCAGUACAUACUGACUUUCAUGGAUUUUGCUACCCAAUGGCCAGAAGCAGUACCCUUAAGCAACACCAGGGCUAAAAGUGUAUGCCAGGCAUUAGCAGACAUUUUUGCCAGGGUAGGUUGGCCCUCCGACAUCUUUACAGAUUUGGGAACU